CAGCCGCGUAAUUCCAGCUCCAAUAGCGUAUAUUAAAGUUGUUGCAGUUAAAAAGCUCGUAGUUGAAUUUCGGGAUUGACGUGAUGGUCAUGCCUUAAGGGGUAUGAACUGUUACUGUUGAUUUCUCACCUUCUGGAGAAACUUGAUGUCCUUUAUUGGGUGUCUUGCGGAUCCAGGACCUUUACCUUGAAAAAAUUAGAGUGUUUAAAGCAGGCAUUUUUGCUCGAAUACAUUAGCAUGGAAUAAUAGAAUAGGACGGCAUGGUUCUAUUUUGUUGGUUUCUAGGAUCACCGUAAUGAUUAAUAGGGAUAGUUGGGGGCAUUAGUAUUCAAUUGUCAGAGGUGAAAUUCUUGGAUUUAUUGAAGACUAACUACUGCGAAAGCAUUUGCCAAGGAUGUUUUCAUUAAUCAAGAACGAAAGUUAGGGGAUCGAAGACGAUCAGAUACCGUCGUAGUCUUAACCAUAAACUAUGCCGACUAGGAAUCAGACGAUGUUAAUUUUUUAAUGACUCGUUUGGCACCUUACG
rnacentral:misc_RNA from 1 species